rnacentral:rRNA from 1 species
AGUGAACGCUGGCGGUAGGCCUAACACAUGCAAGUCGAACGGCAGCACAGUAAGAGCUUGCUCUUACGGGUGGCGAGUGGCGGACGGGUGAGGAAUACAUCGGAAUCUACUUUUUCGUGGGGGAUAACGUAGGGAAACUUACGCUAAUACCGCAUACGACCUACGGGUGAAAGCAGGGGAUCUUCGGACCUUGCGCGAUUGAAUGAGCCGAUGUCGGAUUAGCUAGUUGGCGGGGUAAAGGCCCACCAAGGCGACGAUCCGUAGCUGGUCUGAGAGGAUGAUCAGCGACACUGGAACUGAGACACGGUCCAGACUCCUACGGGAGGCAGCAGUGGGGAAUAUUGGACAAUGGGCGCAAGCCUGAUCCAGCCAUACCGCGUGGGUGAAGAAGGCCUUCGGGUUGUAAAGCCGUUUUGUUGGGAAAGAAAAGUAGCAGGUUAAUACCCCGCCGUUCUGACGGUACCCAAAGAAUAAGCACCGGCUAACUUCGUG